AGGUAUGAGUUGAAAUACAUCUUGCUGUUGGUUUUAUAUCAGACAUAUGUUCUGUUGCUUUUUCAACUCCACGAUGUGGGACUUUAUGCAAUGCAAUAGCUUGGAGUCUAUUAGUAUUCCUGCACUUUCAAAGCUUCACCUGAGGUUGGGUCAGAGGCAUUAAUGUAAGUUCCACAAUCCCUUCACUUUACAAAUUUGAUUCCAUAAUCUCUACCUCAUACUCUUCAUAUGCUUCUGAAGUGUUCACUGUUGGAGGCCUUCAUUGAUGUUAUUGCCACCAGGUUUGUGCUCUUCAUAAUUUUUUUUAGUUCCUUUUUACAAUUAAAGUUUUAUUCAGAGAAUUAGAUAGAUGUAGUUAGUAACAUAGUCCGGAAAAUUCAAGUAAGUUUCAUCAUCAUGUCUUUAGAACUGCAAAAUUGUAAUCUUUAAAAAAGCAGGUUUGAGAGCCUUUAUUUUUGUCUGUGCAAGUACAAUAUAUAAAUAUAUUAAACCAAACCUUGUUAAGACUAAGAAGAAAGUAGGGGCAUGAAGUUUGAUUCACAACUCCAGACUAGCUAAUUGCUAACACAUCGGAAUUCAGAAUAUAAGUUGAAGAUCUCGACACUCUCAGUUUUAUUCCUAUUGAUUCUAAAGACUUUCUUCUUUUUUCUGUAUUUUCCAUUUACUUGUUGAUAUUGUAUAUAGAAUUGCCCAACGCAGUUAUUUACUUUUAUUAAAGGGUUAGUAUUCAUGUGGUUCUUGUGUGUCUGGUCUAUCUUAUAGUCAAUCCUGAAGCAGGUAUUCCUAGCUUCACGGAUUCAAGUGAAAUCGGUUCUCCUGUCAUUGAUAUGUGUCACGCGCAUUUAUCUGUUUUUGCCUUCAUUUUUAUCAGCAACUCAUUCUUGUCACUUACAUUUUCCUACCACAGAACAUCACUACUGCAUUAAAAAAAUGCCUACCUUCAUUCCUUACUUUUGCUACAGAUAAUAGUGAGCUGUUUUUAUGCAUAAAUAACUAAUUUUUCUAAAUAAUGUCCUUCAUUCCUUACUUUUGCUACAGACCAAGUAAACCAUUUAAGAAACCAUGUUCCAACUUAAUACCACACCAUCUUGAAUCCAUUAAGUCCCACAUCGGCUAUAAUAUGACAUAAGUAAGUGUUUAUAAAAGCUUGUCAUGCUAGCAAGUUUGCCGAGCUGAGUAGCGCCAGCUUGUGACCCAAGUGGGGGUACAAAGGUGAUGGAACAUGACUUUGGCUUAACAGGUUGGACUGGUGUGUGCACCAUGCUGGCUUGCCUGCUUCAAGUUGAGAGUCGAGCUAUGGGACUUGAGCGAAGGCAUGAGUCUUGUGGAUCUUAGACAGGAGGGUACUGCGUGAGGCUGGUUUCACAGAGCAGCGAACACCUCCUACUCCUAACAGUGGAGGGAUUACAGGCUGCUGCCUGCACUUCCAGCCCACUACACCUGGUGAGCCUAGCCCUUGAACCAUCAUUUUUGGUGAACUCGUGGAAUUCCAUUUCCAUCACAUUUGAUUUCCUCAUGCAUAUUUUUGUAGUUAAAUAUAGAUCUCUCAACAUCAUUAUCCUUCAAUAUCACUACUGAAUCUGUCACCUUGUCCGAGUUCUAUGAAUAUAUUCUUCAUGAAACCCUUCUUCCUAUAGUUUCUCAAACACCCUUAUGUGAAAACCAUUCCAUUUCAAAGGAAGGGAUGGUGGAAUACAUGCUGGAUCAGCUGAUAAGGCUGGAGAGUGAUAUGUACUUGCCACAGGUUUGUGCUCUUCAUUUUUUUGUUGAGAUAAUUCAAUUGAUGGUUGUUUGGUCUAGCUUUGUGGUUAGUACCGACAUAUCAUGUUUAAGGUAUUUGAAGGCCUUAGGGUCCGUUUCGAUUGACUUAUUUGAGUUUAUCUACUGGUAUAAACAUUUGUGAGACAAUUCUGGUGAGUUUACGGAAACGACUUAUCGCAUGUCCAUAAGAUGUUUUCAACUUAUUUCCAUGAUGGCUUAUGAAAAUAGCUUAUAACUUAUAUGAAAAAAGUUUGACUUUAUUUUAUCUUUUGUCAUAGUGAAUAGCUUAUCCAAAAACUCUUAUAUGACAUUAAAUGAGGUAUCAUUUUGAAUAUAUGAACUUCAAAAUUCUUUUGAAAAGUAAAACAAUCUAAUCUACUUUAUGUUUGAUCCAUUAUGUUUGAGUGGUCAAGACAUGACCGAAUCAAAAUGUCGAACAUCUACAGUGCCGUUUUUGGGACCGAAAUUUGGCCAGCUGAGGAAUAUGGAAGAACAAUGUACACAAUUCGCCAAAGAGUUGGCCCGUUACUCAUGAGAGUGCAGAAGAUUUAUGAUAAAAACAAGUGGCGAGUUAACUGAAAAUGAGAUCAUCAUAACUGAGAGAACACUGAUUUAGUUAGUAACAGAGUCAGAUAAAUUCAAGUAAGUUUCAUCAUUUUGCAAUUAAAAAUGCAAAAAGGAUAGGUGACUUUAUUUUUGUAAGACAAAAUAGACAUGGCAUAAACAAAACGUUUUCAUAUCAAAUUAUAUCUGCAUUUUGUAUCUUGGAAUAUUAAUUUCUAAUCCUGAAUUCUUUACUUCUACUUGAUUGAAUCCUGAAGAAGCACCGAAUUCUGAUCUUGAAGACUGCAAGGUGAUAAAACUAUUACUCUACAAGUUAAAUACGCUGCCUAACGUUGUUGCUUUAACAGAGAAUCAGAACUGGUCUCGACCUUACUAACGUAAGAGCAUUCGUGGAAUUCGAUGAGUCAUUGAUUCAUUUAUCAACGAGAAUGCCAUCAAAUCAAUUUUUGGAAUAUUUAAUAAGAAUGCUCUCUACUUUAUGAAUAUUGCUUGAAUCAGGGAGUUUGUGCUUGUUAAUGUUAUUUAUUUGGACAUGAUCUGAGUGUGUUGGAUUUUAGGACUUGACCCUUGAUCUUAUUUUUCGUUGUUUAAGAAUAAGUGUAUAUGAUGCUUAUUUAUGUGU